GACGAACCGUGCGAACGUUAUUCGGAAUCACUGGGCUUAAAGGGCGCGUAGGCGGGCCCGUCAGUCAGGGGUGAAAUCCCACGGCCCAACCGUGGAAGUGCCUCUGAUACUGCGGGCCUCGAGGGGGAUAGGGGCGUGCGGAACUCAGGGUGGAGCGGUGAAAUGCGUAGAUAUCGAGAGGAACACCAGUGGCGAAGGCGAGUCCCUGGACAGGUCCUGACGCUGAGGCACGAAAGCUAGGGGAGCAAACAGG
rnacentral:rRNA from 1 species